CAACAUUUGUACAAAGAUGCUAGGCUUUGGAUGGUAGUAGACAGUUAGAAGUGUGGUUUGAACCAUUGCAGCAGGUGUCCUCUGACUCAAGCAGCCUGUGUGAAAAUUUCCCUUACUCACUUGGCCUCCUGUCUCCAACUGGAAAGACACUUCUGACUCCUGGGAUCUGAUCCAGUCUGCUCUUCUCAACCCUGAAACACAAAGCAGACCUCAACCAAGGCUCAUUCAGGCUGCCUCUUCCAGGAGGGCAACUCAGAUGCAGGACAGGACUCAGUUACCUGGAAGGGCCAGUGCUAGAAGUGAAGUGAAGAUAAACUUCAUAUUCGUCAUUCUUCUGGAUCUCUUGUAA
rnacentral:lncRNA from 1 species